UUGAACGCUGGCGGCAUGCUUUACACAUGCAAGUCGAACGGCAGCGGGGGCUUCGGCCUGCCGGCGAGUGGCGAACGGGUGAGUAAUGCAUCGGAACGUACCCAGUCGUGGGGGAUAACUACGCGAAAGCGUGGCUAAUACCGCAUACGCCCUGAGGGGGAAAGCGGGGGACCUUCGGGCCUCGCGCGAUUGGAGCGGCUGAUGUCGGAUUAGCUGGUUGGUGGGGUAAAGGCUCACCAAGCCGACGAUCUGUAGCUGGUCUGAGAGGACGACCAGCCACACUGGGACUGAGACACGGCCCAGACUCCUACGGGAGGCAGCAGUGGGGAAUUUUGGACAAUGGGCGAAAGCCUGAUCCAGCAAUGCCGCGUGCAGGAAGAAGGCCUUCGGGUUGUAAACUGCUUUUGUACGGAGCGAAAAGGCUCUCUCUAAUACAGGGGGCUCAUGACGGUACCGUAAGAAUAAGCACCGGCUAACUACGU
rnacentral:rRNA from 1 species